rnacentral:rRNA from 1 species
CGGACGGUGAGUAACACGUGAGGAACCUGCCUCUCAGAGUGGGAUACCGUUUGGAAACGAACGUUAAUACCGCAUAAUGUACAUAUGUCGCAUGGCAUUUGUACCAAAGGCCGGGCAACCGGUCACUGAAGGAUGGGCCUGCGUCUGAUUAGCUAGGUUGGUGGGGUAACGGCCCACCAAGGCGACGAUCAGUAGCCGGUCUGAGAGGAUGAACGGCCACAUUGGGACUGAGACACGGCCCAAACUCCUACGGGAGGCAGCAGUGGGGAAUCUUCCGCAAUGGGCGCAAGCCUGACGGAGCAACGCCGCGUGAGUGAAGAAGGUUUUUCGGAUCGUAAAGCUCUGUUGAGAGGGACGAGAGACAUAAUCAGGAAAUGGGUUAUGGAGGACGGUACCUUUCGAGGAAGCCACGGCUAACUACGUG